AACUACAAAAGCGCAAACGGAAAAGGCGGCAACAACAAGUAAAACGAGAAGCGGUAACCAAGUUUAAAAGUGAACAACAUGAAGAAAACAGCUUCAGCUGAAAGGUUUAUGACGUCAUUACAAAGUCACGAGUCAGCGGAGACCAGGGGCCCGUUUCAUGAAGCAGGUUAUGUGGAAACCCUGCGCAUGUUGAGCCUGAAACCAGCGACACCCUGAGUUAACCCUUUCAAUAAGGAAGGUAAGUUAACCCCGAGAUCGGGGGAAGUUAAGGAGUAAGUUAAGCCCGUUUCAUAAAGCGAGGUAACUCACACUCAGAGUCUGUUACCGCGGUAACUUAGUCUGUGAACAUAACCUGGUCGGGAGCGGGUUUUACUCCAGAAACCUCGAGUUUGUCUCUGACUCCUCCCCUUUACGGAACAUAAGCCUGAACCGUUUCCUGCUCUCUUUAAAUGUCAGAGCACAAACAUCCCAACUAACCCGUCUCAUUUUCUGUACUGUUAGAUCAUUUGUGAUGCAGCUCACAUCAUCACACAUGUGGAAGCCAAGUGGCCUGGGUCUGAGCAGGACUCCUGCAUAUAUCGAGGGUCUACUCUGAGCCGCAGACUGGACUGUGGAGACAUUGAAGGCUUCCUUCUGGGUGACAGGAGUUACCCCUGCCAACCCAGACUCAUAAGACCCUCAACCAGGCCCCCAGCAGCACUUCAAUGUGGCACACUGCUGGACCAGAGCCAGGCUAGAGAUGACUGUAGGCCUGCUGAAAGCCUGUUCCCAGGUCUUACGUCAUCUCAGUAACUCCUGAGGGAGCCUGUGACAUAAUUGUGGCUUGUGUUGUUCUCCAUAAUAUUGCAAUUAUUAGAGGAGAGCAACACUCUGCCCUACAAACACAAGACCACGAGGAGGACCCCAUCCUCCUCCCAGAAAACCAGGGUGGUUUUCAUAUUGCUUUGUAAAAUGUUAAUUUAUUUUACCUUUAUAUUUUCUGUUACUGUUUUUGCACACUUUUUGGUUUUUGCACUCUUUUUCUCUUCUUGUGAGCUGCCACAAGAAGAGAAUUUCCCCACUGCGGGAUCAAUAAAUAAAGUUCAUCUAAUCUUAUCUUGUUCCAAUGACAAAUUAAAUUUACCUGUGACUGCACACCCACCUCUAACUUGUAUUUAAGUAUCUCGAUUUCCAGGUCUGCCUUGUGGAUCUGGUGGUCCAAGUGCACCAUUUCCUGAUCUGUUCUUUCAGUCAGUUUAAGGAGAUGGAUUCUGUUUAACUGGUAACUGGAAAUCCAUAAGAAUGACAUUAAGUCAUAUUGUUCUACAUGUACAAUUGUACAGAAUUCAACUGUGUUGUUUACUGAAACUCUC